rnacentral:rRNA from 1 species
UCGAUUUCUUCGGAUUGAAAUUUUAGUGACUGAGUGGCGGACGGGUGAGUAACGCGUGAGGAACCUGCCUUUCAGAGGGGGACAACAGUUGGAAACGGCUGCUAAUACCGCAUAAGCGCACAGCAUCGCAUGAUGCAGUGUGAAAAACUCCGGUGGUAUAAGAUGGACCCGCGUUGGAUUAGCUAGUUGGUGAGGUAACGGCCCACCAAGGCGACGAUCCAUAGCCGACCUGAGAGGAAGGUCCCCACAUUGGAACUGAGACACGGUCCAAACUCC